rnacentral:rRNA from 1 species
UGGGGAAUCUUGCGCAAUGGGCGAAAGCCUGACGCAGCCAUGCCGCGUGGAUGAUGAGGGUCUUAGGAUUGUAAAAUCCUUUCACCGGUGAAGAUAAUGACUGUAGCCGGAGAAGAAGCCCCGGCUAACUUCGUGCCAGCAGCCGCGGUAAUACGAAGGGGGCUAGCGUUGCUCGGAAUUACUGGGCGUAAAGGGAGCGUAGGCGGACAUUUAAGUCAGGGGUGAAAUCCCGAGGCUCAACCUCGGAACUGCCUUUGAUACUGGGUGUCUUGAGUGUGAGAGAGGUGAGUGGAACUCCGAGUGUAGAGGUGAAAUUCGUAGAUAUUCGGAAGAACACCAGUGGCGAAGGCGACUCACUGGCUCAUUACUGACGCUGAGGCUCGAAAGCGUGGGGGGCAAACAGGAUUAGAUACCCUGGUAGUCCACGCCGUAAACGAUGAUUGCUAGUUGUCGGGGGAGCUUGCUCUUCGGUGACGCAGCUAACGCAUUAAGCAAUCCGCCUGGGGGAGUACGGUCGCAAGAUUAAAAACUCAAAGGAAUUGACGGGGUCAUAGCUGUUUCCU